rnacentral:rRNA from 1 species
GACGAACGCUGGCGGCGUGCUUAACACAUGCCAGUCGAACGGAAAGGCCCUGCUUUUGUGGGGUGCUCGAGUGGCGAACGGGUGAGUAAAACGUGAGUAACCUGCCCUUGACUUUGGGAUAACUCCAGGAAACUGGGGCUCAUACCGGAUAGGAGAUCCUGCUGCAUGGUGGGGGUUGGAAAGUUUCGGCGGUUGGGGAUGGACUCGCGGCUUAUCGGCUUGUUGGUGGGGUAGUGGCUUACCAAGCCUUCGACGGAUAGCCGGCCUGAGAGGGUGACCGGCCACAUUGGGACUGAGGUACGGCCCAGACGCCUACGGGAGGCAGCAGUGGGGAGUAUUGCACAAUGAGCGGAAGCCUGAUGCAGCGACGCCGGGUUCGGAAUGACGGCCUUCGGGGGGUAAACCGCUUUCGCCUGUGACAAAGCGUGAGUGACGGUAAUUGGUAAAGAAGCACCGGCUAACUACGUG